rnacentral:misc_RNA from 1 species
GAUGAAGAACGUAGCGAAAUGCGAUACGUAAUGUGAAUUGCAAAUUCAGUGAAUCAUCGAGUCUUUGAACGCACAUUGCGCCCCCUGGUAUUCCGGGGGGCAUGCCUGUCCGAGUGUCAUUGCUGCCCUCAAGCACGGCUUGUGUGUUGGGCCCCGUCCUCCGAUCCCGGGGGACGGGCCCGAAAGGCAGCGGCGGCACCGCGUCCGGUCCUCGAGCGUAUGGGGCUUUGUCACCCGCUCUGUAGGCCCGGCCGGCGCUUGCCGAUCAACCCAAAUUUUUAUCCAGGUUGACCUCGGAUCAGGUAGGGAUACCCGCUGAACUUAAGCAUAUCAAUAAGCGGAGGA